UACGGAGGGCGCAAGCGUUGUCCGGAUUCACUGGGUGUAAAGGGUGUGUAGGCGGAGUGGCAAGUCAGUGGUGAAAUCCCGCGGCUUAACCGUAGAAUUGCCAUAGAUACUGCUGUUCUUGAGUACUGGAGAGGCUGCUAGAAUUCGUGGUGUAGCGGUGAAAUGCGUAGAUAUCACGAGGAAUACCAGAGGCGUAGGCGGGUAGCUGGACAGAUACUGACGCUGAGGAGCGAAAGCGUGGGGAGCAAACAGG
rnacentral:rRNA from 1 species